rnacentral:lncRNA from 1 species
GCAACUAAUGAGUUUUAUGCAAGGAGUCUCUAAAAUUGCAUUUGAGAUGUCCAUGAUGGACAAGCGAAAUCUCCUCUCGGAGCUGCAAGUUAAGCAAAUGAAAGUGAGAACUUUCACGUGUCAAACUAACUAUUGCAAGAAAUUGCUGAAUCAAUAUUGAAAAGAGAAAUACCAAAGCAAUGGUCACUUCAAUGAAUUUAUAAGACCAUCGUGACAGAAAAGUGAAAGGUAAGAAGAGCAAUACCAAGAACUACAGAGGUAUGAUCGUUCCUUACUU